CUGUCUUAUCGCAAUCGAGUCAAUCCUAUAAAAGAAUCGUAAGCGGCCGAGCGGCCGCACUCAAUGUCUCCUCGUCGGUGUGGUGUCCAGGGGCGAGUGCCGGUGACGUGCGUGGUAGGCGGCAGCGCAGCGCUCGAGGCGAACCGGCGGGUGACGCCAUUAGUGCGCACUCGAGACGGCUGUGGGUUACACGUGCCAGCUGGACGCUCGGUGGACAUGGCGCAACUCGGGGAGGUACCGGAGCACGAGCGUUGGCGUCACAGCGCGCACCGAUCGCAACCGGCAGCGGUACCGGCGCCUCGCCCCGUUCUAGGUGCCUCGACGCGUACCCCACUCGUAUAGCCGGGGCACAACGAUUUAAUACUGGCCGAUAGCAAACCCAACUCGCCGCCUCUACCACUUAAAGUUAUGGAGUCCAACUACCUGACCACGAAAGUGACACGGACUGUCUCUUAGUCCGUUCACCACCUACGGACGUACGUCACGGUCGAGUCUACCAUUAUGACCAAUUUAGUUGAGUAUUAGUUACCCUCAAGAUUGCUGCAUAAUAUGUUCCUCGAUACCCUACGAACACGAUCCGGCAACUAGUGUCACGUAGCGUUCCACUUUCCCAAAUGAUGAACCAAUAUACCUUGUCCAUACAAAGGUGUGUACCCACAGCCAACGAGAAGAACUACGGGGUAUUGAUUACUUAAGCGAUGAGUCGUGUUUGUUGUCGAUAAACACAGUACCCUGUGAAGAACGAAGAAUACAAUUUUACUGUUAUACCGAAACAAAUACGUCUUAUUAGUAGACCUAUAAAUUACUAGCAGGUACAUGUGUAAAUCUUGUACGAUCCCGGGAACACAUACGUGUGAAGAGAUUAUACCAGUACAUAAUCAACUGUUUACCUACAGGUAGCCUACCAUGGUGAAACUAUGUCACGUAGGUCGGAACAUCCGGAGUGUUAUAUAGGGAAGCGGUUCGAAGUGACACUACGGUUUGAUUGAUAAAGUGUUUGUAGAAACAAUUAACUAUUUGACUAAAGAAGGUCGACGGGUUUUUUGUCUCAUGAUUAUGUGUACCUGACAAAUCAACAGUUCCGUCGAAAUGUUUAGUAAAACCCCUGCCUGAUUUGUAUAAAUGUGGUCAACUUACGCUUCUUUUCUUUAGUAGCAGAUGAUUAUGAGGUGAUUUACUGAGGUUGUUAAGUGUAGAGAUCAUAACAUAAUAUGAUGUACAGUUUCUUACUGAUUGUCAUGAGUAAGGAGAAAGUUUCAACAGUUUCUUUAUAUUGGUCAUCUCUUGGACCUUCCUAUCACUAGAGAUUUGAGGUCUAUAGAUUCCCCCAUUAACGGAUAUUCUAUCCUGAACGAACCUACGUAAAGUAUCUAUUAUUUAGACAUUUCUCACCAAUCCUCCAUUAGGGAAACAUUUGAUUAUAUUGUGGCAGAUCUAGUGAUGAAAUCACUAGAUUUCAUAAGGGAGGCAAGGUUUUAUCUACUGGGUUGAAACAUAAUUUCAAUCAUGUUUCAACUCAGUAGAUAAAAUCUUGCCUCCCUCAUCACAAAAUUUGCCAGGAUAUAAUCAAAUGUUUUCGCCAUUGUAUGUAUAGACUUGUAAAUGGGUGGUGUGCAGCUAGUUUCCCGUGCGCGUCGGGUCCUUUUCUUCUUCCGGACAUGUGCAUAUAUUGGUGGCUUCUUUGGAAUCUUGUGGUCCAGUUGCUUGGUGCUACCGGGUGUGUGUGGGUUUUAGCGAUUGGCGGGGUUGUUUUAGCGAUGUGUGCAAUUCUUUUAAAAGUGGCUUCCGGAUGUCGGUGUACGCUAAAGAUGUGUCGAUCCAUGGUUUGAUUAUGGUGCGCAGUGUAUACAUUAUGUUGUAUGUAGUGAAAGUAGGUUCACCCGCUAAGAACCUCGCUUUUUCGAGGGACCUUAUCUCCGAACCCAUGAUCUUGUUACAGUCACGCAAUGUUGCCUUAUAUUAUAAGAUUAUGCAAUCGAACACUAAAUGGACAGUUGAUCGCCUCACUGUACGCGUAAACGCGCCGAUCUCUGUAUAUAUAGCAUCAUUAAUCAGAAAUUUAAACUCUACUAGAAAUAUACAAAUUAUUCUAUCAUCGUGAAGUCCUUUAGUA
rnacentral:rRNA from 1 species